rnacentral:rRNA from 1 species
GUAGGUGGCAAGCGUUGUCCGGAUUUACUGGGCGUAAAGGGAGCGCAGGUGGCUCAUCAAGUCUGGGGUGAAAUCUCCCGGCUCAACCGGGAGGGGUCUCUGGAUACUGAUGGGCUUGAGGGAAGCAGAGGAAAGCGGAAUUCCCGGUGUAGCGGUGAUAUGCGUAGAUAUCGGGAGGAACACCAGUGGCGAAGGCGGCUUUUCUGGGCUUUUUCCUGACGCUGAGGCUCGAAAGCGUGGGGAGCGAACCGGAUUAGAUACCCGGGUAGUCCACGCCGUAAACGUUGGACACUAGGUGUGGGGGGUAUUGACCCCCCCCCUCCCGUGCCGCAGCUAACGCAUUAAGUGUCCCGCCUGGGGAGUACGGCCGCAAGGCUA